AUGUUGCCUAAAAAGCAUCCAUCUGGUCAUCAGAAAAGAACUAACAAGAAACGAGUACAGAAGUUGAUUCGAUCUCAGAGAGGGGCUAUGAAUAAAUUCGUGUUGUGGAAGGAUACUGAUAUGAAUUUUACGCAAUUAUAUAUCACCAAUGGCGAACAACCAGAUCAGACUGAGAAUGCAGUUGGGGGAAAUUGUGCCGAUGUUGAUGCCAAUCAGAACACCCGAAAUUUUAGUGGCCAUGGAAACAUAGAUGAGCAGGCUUCUUCUUUUGAUAUUUAUGAUCCUAGAACUUGGAAUAUUCUUGACAAUAAAUCAAGAGAUAUUCUCAUUGAAAAAGGACCUACAAGGGAGUACAAUCCUGUGUUUCCCGUGGAUAAGAAAGGCAGGCAUUUUUCAUAUGCUUACUACUCAAGACAGCUAAGGAAUGGUGAGGCCAGUGAUCGGAGGUGGUUAGUGUACUCUAAACAUGUGAAUAAAGUUCAUUGUUUUUGCUGCAAAUUGUUCAAAUCUGAAAACAGCAAAAGUUUGCUAGCAUCUGAGGGAUUGAUGGAUUGGAAACAUCUUAGUGAAAAGCUGAAAUUACAUGAGAACGGUGCUGAGCAUAUCACUAACAUGAAUACUUGGAAUGAGGUAAGGUUGAGGCUAAGUAAGAAGGAAACAAUUGAUAGAGAUUUGCAAGAAGAGAUUGCAAGGGAGAAGAAGCGCUGGAGACAAGUUUUAAUUAGAAUUGUUGCUGCUGUGAAAUUUCUUGCUAAACAUAAUUUGGCUUUUCGAGGAGCAAAUGAGAAAUUAUAUCAAGAUACAAUGGGAACUUUUUGGGAGUAA
rnacentral:rRNA from 1 species